rnacentral:misc_RNA from 1 species
UUAAGUUCAGCGGGUAAUCCUGUCUGAUCUGAGGUCUAAUCUAAAGUUGACUACUGUAGUUGGAAGCUCCUACUGAGAUCUCAUUCGGCCACAUGCAAGCACGUGUCCUCAGCGAAUAGUCUAUUACACUGAGUCAAUCCGAGUUCGAAUUAGAGUUGCUAAUAUAUUACGAACGAGCUACGAUCCGAGGAUCCAGCAAC